rnacentral:misc_RNA from 1 species
ACAUCCCUUUGCCAAGACUCGACUCUCUUUCGCUCUCACACCCCUCCCACACUCGCCCCCCGCCUCCCUCCUCGUCAGCUCUGUCGCGCCAUCUCGACCCCCUGUGCCAUCGCUUCUCCUGCCCAUCUCCGCCUCACCUUUUUGUUUGCUGCGCCUUUGCGAAGAUGUAUUCCCAUAUCGGCGUUCUGAUCUACGUGAUCCUCCAGUUCCUCGCGUUGCUUUGUUUGGUGGUGGCUACGCCGUUCGACAUGUUUCGCGAGGUGAAGGGCGGGGUCUUCGGCGGCAGCGCUUGUGUGACGCUAUGGGGUUUACAGAAGGUGUGCUUGGGCACAGAGUACAUCAUGAAGACGAGGGUGCUGUGGAAGAAUUGCCCGAGCCGCCGCGACCGUUUCCUCCUUGCUCAGGUGUUUGAUGUCAUCUCACUCGCCGUGUACGCCGUAGCGUUUCUGUUCGGUUUCAUUUUGCUGUGGUGCUGCUCUGCCUUUCGCUGGGUCUGCCUGGCCCUCAACAUCGUCGGCAUCGGCACCGUGUGCGUCGUCUGGGUGCUGAUGGUGAAGGUCUACCACAUCGAUGAUGGCACUGUUUGCAUGGUUCUGGACAAGGGCUUCCGCUUUGGUAUCGGCUUUGGUCUCUUAUUGGUGGCCUGGGUGCUGGAUAUCAUCGCCAUCUUCUUCUUGCUGCUGCCAUUAGAGGCCAAGCAGGACAGUGAGAGUACAAAGUCGGACGAGUACCGAGAACAGGAGUAGGCAGCCAAGAGCGGAAGGAGGCGGGGUGCGCUGCUGCAGUGUAUGGGAGGGUCUGCUGCCUUGCUCAUGGCAGAACGACACGUGGCCAAAAAAGUCGAGUUUGUUUUCACACGGUCUCUCCCCGGUGUGUCUCUUUUCGUCCUUCUGUGCUUUCUUCAUUUUUGCUGUUUUCAUCGGUACCGCGAUCUGCCCUUUGUGGUGAGCAACGCACGCAUGGCACCGACAAGCCCGCCCAUGCCCCCUUCCCCCCUCUCUGCCCCUCGCCUUCACUAUCUCCUCGACAUCGCCCCCCUCCCGCUCACCCGACGCACCUUUGCGAAGUGAAGAAGCAAAGGACGCAGCAAGAUGCCCACACGGUCGCCGCCGGCCGGAGAAUCAGCGGGGGGGGGGAGGGGAGGAGAGAGGAGAGCGGGCAAAACGGAGGGGGCAGGCAAACGCAAAGGCGGGCGGGGGAAACCGAUGCCCUCGCGCGAAGGACGGGAAACGCAGCGCCACGCCGCAUCGGUCACCCGCCUCCGUCCCACCCCCAUCCAUACCCCAUAGCUGAGAUCGCGCGUCUUUCUGGCGCUUCUCUCUCGCGUGCCCUUUGGCCCUCGUCGCUGCCUCUCCUCCCUCACACACGCCUCAUGGACUACUUGAACGGAGAAGGGCGAGGGGCGGGGGGGGGCGAGGCGCCACAGGGGGUGGCUGCAGGGGGGCGGGGUAGGAAUCAGGCAAGCUGAUGAGCAAGCGCACCGGGGAGGCCAGAGGACAGCGUCUGUGCGCACAGCAGCGGCGCACAGAUGCAUGCACGAACCAGGAGAAACGAUGACAGCACUCGCUCCUCCUCUUUCUGUGCUCCUCAUGCACGGUGCGUGCGCGUGCACAAGAGGACACCCCCACCGUGCAAGGGCGUGUGGGGUCGGGGGAGGCAGCGGAGGAGAGGGCAAGACGGACUGGGGAAGGAGGGAAGCUCUCUGAGGCAUGAAGGCCGACCAUACGUCGGGCAUACGUGCGUCACGUGUGCGCAUGCUCGUGCGUGUGGGCGCGUGCACCCUUGUGACCCCGCUCCCCCUCCCAUGAGUGUCGCGCUCCACGUUGCCCUUCUCUUGCUGCUGCGGCUCUCCCGUGCUCCUGGAACUCACAGGAGGACACCAAAAAGCACCACGACGACACGGAGAAGAAAAUCGAGCACCGCCUCGAUCUCCUCUGCUGUCGUGGUUUUCUUUUCUCGCUUCUGUUGUUUGCAGCUUGCUGCCCCGCGUUUUCGUUUUCUUUGUCGUUUUCAUUAUUAUUUUUUCUUUCUGUCGCUUCUCGCUUUCUUCUCUCGUUCCUCCGCAGAAACUUCGUAUGGACUUGUGCGUGCGUGUGCCUCUCUGCCUUUUCUCUCUUGUUGUCGUUGUGCGCUGCUGCCCUUGUUUCUGUUUCGCUCUGUGCGCAGGCGACAGGCUGAUGGAGAGGAUGAAAAAACGGAACGAAAGGCGACAGCAAUACAGCGGAGGAGGGGAAAAGGCGCGUGCAACGGCAGCAGCACAGGCGCGCAGGCACAGGAAGGUGGGCAAUCGAACGACGGCACACAAAGCGGAUAGGGUCGGUACACAGACGUGAGGAAAGCGGAAGGGAGACAGGGCUGCAUUUCUGUUGUUCUUCGUGACCCGAGUCCGUCCGUGCCUGUGUGCCUGUGCCUGCGCUCCUUGUGUCCUUUUACCUCUCCGCCUCUCUCGUGCUUUUUCCGUGCUUGUUUCUUCAUCGUUUCAUUUACAACGUCAAAUCCUCCAG